UUGAAGCUAGUUAGAUAUAAUCUCCUUAACAUAAUGGCAAUCAGAAGAGCUGCAUGUCCAAAGGUUCUUCUUCAGCAAAGUCAUCUUUGCAGGCAGAGGGUGCCCAGAAGUCCAGAAGCAACAGCAACAAUUCUCCCACGAUGUCUGGUUUCUCAGCAACCCACUCUCAGUUUUUGGCUUUUGGCACAUACUAACAUCACCAGUAGCAUGACAAGGCACACAAUGUUUUUCCUGUGACAAAGGCCACACUCCAACAGAUGCAGGAUCAAUUGCUUAUUGAGUUAAUUCAGUCCUCUUUAAAUAUAAAUUCCUAGAACACCGAAUCAAGCUAUGUAGGAGUAGGACAGUAUGCUUAUCAGUCUUCUUGCCUCUCAGAACACAUGAAGAAGCCGAAAGAUAAACAAUUAAAUUAA